AGCGUUUGAUCCUGGCUCAGAACGAACGCUGGCGGCGUGGAUAAGACAUGCAAGUUGAACGCUGAUUCUGGUGUAGCAAUACAUCAGGGUUGGAGUAGCGCAAGGGUGCGUAACACGUGGGUAAUUUGCCAUGAAGUUGGGGAUAACUCGCUGAAAGGCGAGCUAAUACCGGAUGUGGAGUUUGGGUGGCAUCAUCUGACCUCUAAANCUUGGGAUCGCGGGGCCCCCCNCUUNAUGAUAAGCCCGCGGGCAUAUAAGGUAGUGGGUGAGGUGGCGGAUCACCGAGGCUAGGAGAGUUAGGUGGCUCCGGCGGCAGGACGCGCGUGUCGGGGGAGUAAUAGAGACGGGGG
rnacentral:rRNA from 1 species